rfam:Colletotrichum gloeosporioides Nara gc5 unplaced genomic scaffold scaffold138, whole genome shotgun sequence.
GUCAAGGUGCCAGAGUGGUUAAUGGGCUGCCCUGCUAUCAGGUCUUCUGACAGUUGUUCAGGCAGUGGCUUCGGUCGCGCAGGUUCGAAUCCUGUCCUUGACG